rnacentral:lncRNA from 10 species
ACAUAAAGGUUCUCCAAGUCCCCACCAGAUUAGCUAGAUACAGAGUGCUGGUUGGUACAUCCUUAAACCCUGAGCUAGACCCAGAGUGCUGAUCGGUGCAUUUAGAAUCCUCCAGCUAGACAUAAAAGUUCUCCAAGUCCUUACCUGACUCAGGAGCCCAGCUGGCUUCACGUAGUGGAUCCCGCCGCGGGGACGCGGGCGGAGCUGCCCGCCAGUCCCACGCGCGCGCGCGCGCGCUCCCGCACUCCUCACCCCUUGGGCGGUCAAUGGAACCGGGUGCUGCCAAACAUGGGGCGGCGCACGUCACGGAGGCCCGGCUGCCCGGGAGCCCGCCGCAGUGGCGGGGGGCGGGGCUUGGGCAUGGCGGGCUGCAGGUCCUGAGCCCUCCCCUGGGGGUAGGCGGCUGAGGCCUGUUGAGAAUUAAAGCGCGGCGCGGGCGGGCUGGCAGUGCUGGGGGACCCGGCGCACCCUCCACAGCUGCUGGCCCCGGUGCUAAGCCCCGCUGAGCCUGCGCCCACCCGGAACUGGCGCUGGCUCGCGAGCGCGGCGCGCAGCCCCAGCUCCCGCCCGUGCCUCUCCCUCCACACCUCCCUGCAAGCAGAGGGAGCCGGCUCCGGCCUCAGCCAGCCCAGAAGGGGGCUCCCACAGCGCAGCAGCGGGCUGAGGGGCUCCUCAAGCACUGCCAGAGUGGACGCUGUGGCCUAAAGAGGUGCUGAGAGCGAGCGAGGGCUGCUAGCACGAUGUCACCUCUCAAUUACAGUGUUGUAGUUUAACAUAGCUAAUCUUGGCUUCAUGAGGCACUGUCUUUUCUGCGUUGCCAUUUGGUUUGUGAGCAUUUGAGGAAACUGUCUUCCUGAACUCCACAAAUUUUGUAUGUUAUUUCAGCACUUGAGGAAACCGUCUUCCUGAACUCCACUGCAUCUCAGAUCACAGCUACUAGCUGCACAAACAUAUGGCUUGUCUGCAGUAUGAUCAGGACAUGACAACUCAGAUGUUAGUCUCUUGAG